CAGCAGUUAUUUAUUUGGUGUGUACUUUUCCCCUGAGAAAAUGGACUUGGUCUCAGCCUUAUUUGUUCACCGUAGCUAUCUCCAUUGUAGAUUAAAUGUCUUGCCAUCUCUCCUGUCUUUCAUUUUCCUUCUCAUGCCAACCGUGGUGAUAAAACAGUACCAAAAAGGCUCCAAUGCUUCCAACCAGUGGCUUGAUUGCUUGUGUCAUGUGUCUCUAGUCCCAUCUCAAGGGAGAAGUUUAUCAAUGGUGUUACAAAUAAAUAAGGUAGUGUCCUGUUUUAGGAAGAAAGUGUGUUGCAUUUUAAACCCUUGGGUAGGACAGAAGGAGGCUGCCUUCUUGGGUCAGUGAUGAGUGUUGGCAUGUAUUAUCUGAUCUAAAGUUGAUGCCUAUCACCACUUUAGCUCUAGAAUUACUCUGAGACCCAGGAAGCUCCAGUUCCUUUUGGCUGCAACCGUGGAGCUUUUCCAAACUGUGGAAUCAAAUUCCUGUCACAAAUUCUAACCCAGUGUAAGGAGAAGGGGGCACAGUUUGAGUUUUCUUCCAUUUACGUGAGAGAGAGUUAUAGUUCUUGGGUUGAUACCGGCUGUUACUAGGAGAUGCUUUCACGUUAACUGAACGCAGCUCUGGAUACCCAAAGCUGAACAGUGUUAGCAAAUGCCGAUGUAGAGAUCUGGUGGCAAACUUAACCUGCCUGUCUCAAGGAGCAUGCAUGUUCUUGAUUCACAAACACUGUUUAGUCCCACCUGUGCAUCCAGAAUGCUUGAAGGGUCAGGUCACAUCUUCCUUUGAUUGCAAUGAGCAGUCAGGUGUUCAGAUUUGCUUUUUAGGGAGCAUGCUAUGGUUAUAUCUUUUCUCUUGGGGUUUGUUAUAUUAUUUCUGAAAUGCAAUAAAAGCUCAACUGAAGGAAUGUGAUAUCCAAUGUAGCAGAGUGUGUUUUCAUGAAGAAAAGACUUACAUCAGUUUGACCCCCAGAUUACAUUGUUUUAAAAUUUGUGGCCAGGUUCAACUUCAAAUGUUGACUUGGGGUAUUAAUUGCUCAAUGUUUGUGUUGGGAGAGGUCUGUUGGUGUGGAUAUGCCCAGCAGUCAUUCAUCUGCAGGAGAAACAGCUACAAGGUUCUCCCUCAGCGCUGCAGCAAUCUUGGCACUUCUGGGAAAACUGGAAGCUCUUGAUGUGGGGAAAGCAAUAGAUUUGUUUUUUUCCUGUAUGAGCUCAGAUGGAGGAUUUGGUUCUGAAUCACAUGCAGGACGGGUUAGUAGUGAAAUUGGUUAUCCCUCUGGCUACAGAUCCAUCUUGGUACUUCAUGAGAAGUUGGUCAGAGUAGGUGGAGUCCUUUGUGUUAAACUGACAACGGGUGACACCGUAACAGGACGCAGUGAGAAAACCUGAUGGCCGAGCAUGUUACUUUUGGAGAAACACGUGGCCUAUAUAGCUUUGUAUGGGACAAGGAAAGGCAACUAUAACUAAAAUAAUGCCCUGCUUAGGGGCGCAGUCUGUCGGAGUAUUUGAGGAUGAGCAGUGUUUCCUGGGGGCGGACAGCGAUGGAUCUCAUGGGAUGGCUGCACUGAAUGAAGACGGAUGAAAUUCUGGCAUUCAUCUAAUCAUGUCAGUACAGAUGUGGUGCAGUAAGGGCCAGCACAGGUCACAAUUCUUGUCUGCUGUCAACCCUCAGCAUGUCCAGGUAAAUGUAACAGGGUAAUUGUAGAAACAACUACUUGCAAUUAAUGAUCUUGAUGAUUGGAGACUUAGGAACCAGGUGCUGUUUGAUACCAAUGGCAAAAAAUAUUUCAGUACAUUAUUAAGAAAUAAUCUAACGGGCAAAACUUAAGGAUUCAUCUCCAAAAAAAAGUAUAUAUUCAUAUUUGGGAACACUGUGCUUUUAAUGUUCCUUUACUGGUGAUUUUGUCUGCAUUCUUCAUGAAUUUUGUAGCAGUCUCUGCUACAGGUCUUAGUGGAAUCUUGUAGAUAAUUACUUUUGGAUUUUAUGAAUUCUUCUUGGUGUACAUUGAGGUGAAAGACGUGUAUGGCCAGAGGAAGAGUAAAGGUUUGGAUUUUAUAGGUGUUUAUAUGCACAGAAAUAUGACUAUUGUAAUAUAUAAUUAAAUAAUUAUGUAAUGUCUAUAUAAAAUAUAUAUGCAGUACAUACACUUGUGCAGUGUGUUUCCACUUUAGUACUAUACAAAAGAAGUGUUGUGGUAGUCAGUUCUUCUGUUGUGUUCCUCAAAUCUUUUUUCCUGUAUAACUUUAAAAUUAUACCAGUCUGUUCAGCAGUUAUUUAUUUGGUGUGUACUUUUCCCCUGAGAAAAUGGACUUGGUCUCAGCCUUAUUUGUUCACCGUAGCUAUCUCCAUUGUAGAUUAAAUGUCUUGCCAUCUCUCCUGUCUUUCAUUUUCCUUCUCAUGCCAACCGUGGUGAUAAAACAGUACCAAAAAGGCUCCAAUGCUUCCAACCAGUGGCUUGAUUGCUUGUGUCAUGUGUCUCUAGUCCCAUCUCAAGGGAGAAGUUUAUCAAUGGUGUUACAAAUAAAUAAGGUAGUGUCCUGUUUUAGGAAGAAAGUGUGUUGCAUUUUAAACCCUUGGGUAGGACAGAAGGAGGCUGCCUUCUUGGGUCAGUGAUGAGUGUUGGCAUGUAUUAUCUGAUCUAAAGUUGAUGCCUAUCACCACUUUAGCUCUAGAAUUACUCUGAGACCCAGGAAGCUCCAGUUCCUUUUGGCUGCAACCGUGGAGCUUUUCCAAACUGUGGAAUCAAAUUCCUGUCACAAAUUCUAACCCAGUGUAAGGAGAAGGGGGCACAGUUUGAGUUUUCUUCCAUUUACGUGAGAGAGAGUUAUAGUUCUUGGGUUGAUACCGGCUGUUACUAGGAGAUGCUUUCACGUUAACUGAACGCAGCUCUGGAUACCCAAAGCUGAACAGUGUUAGCAAAUGCCGAUGUAGAGAUCUGGUGGCAAACUUAACCUGCCUGUCUCAAGGAGCAUGCAUGUUCUUGAUUCACAAACACUGUUUAGUCCCACCUGCGCAUCCAGAAUGCUUGAAGGGUCAGGUCACAUCUUCCUUUGAUUGCAAUGAGCAGUCAGGUGUUCAGAUUUGCUUUUUAAGGAGAAAAAGCAAUGAUGAGAUAUUUUGUUGGGGUUGUACAUUCCUCUUUGUGUUUGCAGUUGGUAUUUCCUGGAAGGUUAGAUUUGUUAUGCAUAUUCACAUACUCUUUAAAAUGCUGUAAAUGGCAGCUACUUUGCACAGCAGUUAAAAUCUUGUGGGACUAUUACAUGUACCUUGCCAUGUUCUUGGAUAAGCAUAUCCCUAUUGGUGUGUGUCCUUUUGUUUCUGUUGGUUGUUUGGGUUUUUUUCUUGGGGGGGAGGGGGGUGUUCUUAUCAGGGGAAGAUGAUUAUGAGUAGGCUUCAGUUGAUACUGUGGUUUCCUGCAAUUUGUACUUUCCUAGUGACUGCCUUGAAAUGUGGCCUGAAACACUGCAAACAUUUCCCAGGGGAAAUAGAGGCAUUUGUCAAUGCCUAUGUAUUACCUGACACAUUGUAAAUAAGCCUGGUGGUAGAUGUACGUGGGAUUGCCAGGAACAUUAAUGAUCAGGGUUAAUCUGUCCAUUUGGUCUGUAGCUUGCCCUCCGUAAGCCUUAGGGUAAGAGAAUAUACAGGGUCAAACCACAGGCUGGAUGCAGAAUUGUCCUAAAGGCAGUUUGAGUACUCUGUGGGCUUUGUUUAAAGAAGACAGUAGUGCUCUGCCUGAUCUUCUAGGAUCUUUUUCCAAACUUUGUACUAGUGUAAUAGUUAAACAUUACUAUUCUGUAAUUACCUUGUGUAACUGGAACUUUUAUACAAAAGCAACAUUAAUGGAAAAGUAAAACUCAUUUGAAAC